rnacentral:rRNA from 1 species
UACGUAGGGUGCAAGCGUUAAUCGGAAUUACUGGGCGUAAAGCGUGCGCAGGCGGUUUUGUAAGACAGAGGUGAAAUCCCCGGGCUCAACCUGGGAACUGCCUUUGUGACUGCAAGGCUUGAGUGCGGCAGAGGGGGAUGGAAUUCCGCGUGUAGCAGUGAAAUGCGUAGAUAUGCGGAGGGACACCGAUGGCGAAGGCAAUCCCCUGGGCCUGCACUGACGCUCAUGCACGAAAGCGUGGGGAGCAAACAGG